AACGAACGCUGGCGGCGCGUCUUAAGCAUGCAAGUCGAACGGCAAGAAAGAAGCUUGCUUCUUUCCUAGAGUGGCGGACUGGUGAGUAACGCGUGGGUAAUCUGCCUUUAAGAUGGGGAUAGCCGCUAGAAAUAGCGGAUAAUACCGAAUACACUUCAAGCUUCAAAAGGAGCAUGAAGGAAAGGAAGCUAAGGCUUCGCUUAAAGAUGAGCCUGCGUCCCAUUAGCUAGUUGGUAAGGUAACGGCCUACCAAGGCGACGAUGGGUAUCCGGCCUGAGAGGGUGAUCGGACACAUUGGGACUGAGAUACGGCCCAAACUCCUACGGGAGGCAGCAGCUAAGAAUAUUCCGCAAUGGACGGAAGUCUGACGGAGCGACGCCGCGUGGAUGAAGAAGGCUGAAAAGUUGUAAAAUCCUUUUGUUGAUGAAGAAUAAGGGGAAGAGGGAAUGCUUCUCUGAUGACGGUAAUCGGCGAAUAAGCCCCGGCUAAUUACGUGCCAGCAGCCGCGGUAACACGUAAGGGGCGAGCGUUGUUCGGAAUUAUUGGGCGUAAAGGGCAUGUAGGCGGUUGUAUAAGCCUGAUGUGAAAUCCUGAGGCUUAACCUCAGAAUAGCAUUGGGUACUGUAUAGCUUGAAUUACGGAAGGGAAACUGGAAUUCCAAGUGUAGGGGUGGAAUCUGUAGAUAUUUGGAAGAACACCGGUGGCGAAGGCGGGUUUCUGGCCGAUAAUUGACGCUGAGAUGCGAAAGUGUGGGGAUCGAACAGGAUUAGAUACCCUGGUAGUCCACACCGUAAACGAUGUACACUAGGUGUUGGGGUACGAAUCCUCAGUGCCGAAGCAAACGUGAUAAGUGUACCGCCUGGGGAGUAUGCCCGCAAGGGUGAAACUCAAACGAAUUGACGGGGGCCCGCACAAGCGGUGGAGCAUGUGGUUUAAUUCGAUGGUACGCGACGAACCUUACCUGGGUUUGACAUCUAGUGGAAUACCGUUACAGAUAAGGUAGCGUAGCAAUACGUCGCUAGACAGGUGCUGCAUGGCUGUCGUCAGCUCGUGCCGAGAGGUGUCGGGUUAUGUUCCGCCACGAGCGCAACCCCUACUGCCAGUUACUACCAGGUAAAGCCUGAUGACUCUGCGGAACUGCCGAUGACCAUUCGGAGGGACGGUGGGAUUA
rnacentral:rRNA from 1 species